GAGUUUGAUCGUGGCUCAGGAUGAACGCUGGCGGCGUGCUUAACACAUGCAAGUCGAGCGAAGCAUUUAAGACGAUCUCUUCGGAUUGAGUCUUAUAUGACUGAGCGGCGGACGGGUGAGUAACGCGUGGGUAACCUGCCUCAUACAGGGGGAUAACAGUUAGAAAUGACUGCUAAUACCGCAUAAGCGCACAGGGCUGCAUGGCCUGGUGUGAAAAACUCCGGUGGUAUGAGAUGGACCCGCGUCUGAUUAGCUAGUUGGAGGGUAACGCCACC
rnacentral:rRNA from 1 species